rnacentral:lncRNA from 1 species
UUGUCACUAGAUAUUCCUUCACCUGUUAUGGGUCUUUUAAACCAACUCAACUUGAUCCUCUCACUUUGCCUUCUUUUGAUGAUAGGUUUUUUUUCAACCCUUUUUCUGGAUUGUUUUGUGAUUGAGGCAGCCACACUAGAUCCUGUUUGACUCAUAAUAGUUGGAACAGGCAUAUCAGUUGGAGGCUGUGGAUCAGUUGGAACAGGCACAUUUGUUGGAACAGUCAUAUCAGUUGCAGUUGGG